rnacentral:rRNA from 1 species
AGUGAACGCUGGCGGUAGGCCUAACACAUGCAAGUCGAACGGCAGCACAGUAAGAGCUUGCUCUUACGGGUGGCGAGUGGCGGACGGGUGAGGAAUACAUCGGAAUCUACUUUUUCGUGGGGGAUAACGUAGGGAAACUUACGCUAAUACCGCAUACGACCUACGGGUGAAAGCAGGGGAUCUUCGGACCUUGCGCGAUUGAAUGAGCCGAUGUCGGAUUAGCUAGUUGGCGGGGUAAAGGCCCACCAAGGCGACGAUCCGUAGCUGGUCUGAGAGGAUGAUCGGCCACACUGGAACUGAGACCCGGUCCAGCCUCCUACGGGAGGCAGCAGUGGGGAAUAUUGGCCAAUGGGCGCAAGCCUGAUCCAGCCAUACCGCGUGGGUGAAGAAGGCCUUCGGGUUGUAAAGCCCUUUUGUUGGAAAGAAAAGCAGCAGGUUAAUACCCCGCUGUUCUGACGGUACCCAAAGAAUAAGCACCGGCUAACUUCGUG